GCCAAGGAGAGUUUGAUCCUGGCUCAGGAUGAACGCUGGCGGCGUGCUUAACACAUGCAAGUCGGACGGGGUUAUGUGGAGCCUUUUCGAGUAGUUUACUAUGAGGGAGAGGAAGCGUAACUUAGUGGCGGACGGGUGAGUAACGCGUGAGGACCUGUCCAUAGCAGGGGGACAACAGCUGGAAACGGCUGCUAAUACCGCGUAUGCGCGGCGAAAG
rnacentral:rRNA from 1 species